rnacentral:rRNA from 1 species
CAGCCGCCACGGUAAUACGUAGGUGGCAAGCGUUGUCCGGAAUUAUUGGGCGUAAAGGGCUCGCAGGCGGUUUCUUAAGUCUGAUGUGAAAGCCCCCGGCUCAACCGGGGAGGGUCAUUGGAAACUGGGAAACUUGAGUGCAGAAGAGGAGAGUGGAAUUCCACGUGUAGCGGUGAAAUGCGUAGAGAUGUGGAGGAACACCAGUGGCGAAGGCGACUCUCUGGUCUGUAACUGACGCUGGGGAGCGAAAGCGUGGGGAGCGAACAGGAUUAGAUACCCCCGUAGUCCCUGUCUCUUAUAC